rnacentral:lncRNA from 1 species
UUGGAACAACACAGGGGCACCAAAAGGGGCUUUGGAUGGUUGUAUCUUUCCCGCAUCCAGCAGUUCACCCAACUGCUUCUUUAAUUUAGCCAACUCCUUAGGCGAUAUUCUGUAGGGAGCUCUAGCAGAAGGUCUUGUGCCGGAUACAAGAUCAAUCUUGUGGUCCACAAUACGUCGAGGCGGCAACCCUUUUGGCAACUCC